UCCACGCCCUAAACGAUGAAUGCUAGUCGUCGGGGAGCUCGUCUCUUCGGUGAUGCACUUAACAGAUUAAGCAUUCCGCCUGGGGAGUACGGUCGCAAGAUUAAAACUCAAAGGAAUAGACGGGGACCCGCACAAGUGGUGGAGCAUGUGGUUUAAUUCGAAGAUACACGAAGAACCUUACCUGGCCUUGACAUGGUAGGAACCCUUAAGAGAUUAGGGGGUGCUAGCUUGCUAGAACCUACACACAGGUGCUGCACGGCUGUCGUCAGCUCGUGUCGUGAGAUGUUGGGUUAAGUCCCGCAACGAGCGCAACCCUCGUCGUUAGUUGCUAACAGUUCGGCUGAGCACUCUAACGAGACUGCCUUCGUAAGGAGGAGGAAGGUGAGGACGACGUCAAGUCAUCAUGGCCCUUACGGCCAGGG
rnacentral:rRNA from 1 species